CCCAGACUCCUACGGGAGGCAGCAGUGGGGAAUAUUGCACAAUGGGGGAAACCCUGAUGCAGCGACGCCGCGUGAGUGAAGAAGUAUUUCGGUAUGUAAAGCUCUAUCAGCAGGGAAGAAAAUGACGGUACCUGACUAAGAAGCCCCGGCUAACUACGUGCCAGCAGCCGCGGUAAUACGUAGGGGGCAAGCGUUAUCCGGAUUUACUGGGUGUAAAGGGAGCGUAGGUGGCAUGGUAAGCCAGAAGUGAAAACCCGGGGCUCAACCCCGCGGAUUGCUUUUGGAACUAUCAGGCUGGAGUGCUGGAGGGGUAAGCGGAAUUCCUAGUGUAGCGGUGAAAUGCGUAGAUAUUAGGAGGAACACCGGUGGCGAAGGCGGCUUACUGGACAGAAACUGACACUGAGGCUCGAAAGCGUGGGGAGCAAACAGGAUUAGAUACCCCCGUACAU
rnacentral:rRNA from 1 species